CUUGCUGGUCAUCUUAUUGAGUGUGGUGCACAGGCCACAGGAGGGAUUUCCACAGACUGGCACAUGGCUCCUGACUGAUCUCCAGUUCUGAAACCUUUCUUUUUCCUGCAGCCCAAAGCAGAUCUGGAGGUGCACAUUCAUGUGAAUGGGGGGCUUGUGGAGACACACAGAGAGGCAGUAUUAGGGCCUUCAUUCACAAAGGACACGACCCUUCCCUUCAAUCAGAGGAAAAUAGCCCAACACCCUCAGAUCUGCACAGACACAAACAGAGAGAAGAACCUGGAGACACGUCAUUAGAGCAUCACAGAGGGCUGAUUAUCUGCCCUCCGGCCAACAUACUUUCAGACUGGAUGCGUUAGCAUACACGUGCAGUGGAGACAAAGGGGACUCCUCAAACAUCGGUA